rnacentral:rRNA from 1 species
UACGUAUGGUGCAAGCGUUAUCCGGAAUGACUGGGUGUAAAGGGAGCGUAGACGGUCGUUCAAGUCUGAUGUGAAAGCCCUCGGCUUAACUGGGGGAGUGCAUUGGAAACUGAAGGACUAGAGUAUCGGAGAGGCAAGUGGAAUUCCUAGUGUAGCGGUGAAAUGCGUAGAUAUUAGGAGGAACACCAGUGGCGAAGGCGGCUUGCUGGACGAAAACUGACGUUGAGGCUCGAAAGCGUGGGGAGCAAACAGG